CUACGGGGGGCAGCAGUAGGGAAUCUUCCGCAAUGGACGAAAGUCUGACGGAGCAACGCCGCGUGAGUGAUGAAGGUUUUCGGAUCGUAAAACUCUGUUGUUAGGGAAGAACAAGUACGAGAGUAACUGCUCGUACCUUGACGGUACCUAACCAGAAAGCCACGGCUAACUACGUGCCAGCAGCCGCGGUAAUACGUAGGUGGCAAGCGUUGUCCGGAAUUAUUGGGCGUAAAGCGCGCGCAGGCGGUCCUUUAAGUCUGAUGUGAAAGCCCACGGCUCAACCGUGGAGGGUCAUUGGAAACUGGGGGACUUGAGUGCAGAAGAGAAGAGUGGAAUUCCACGUGUAGCGGUGAAAUGCGUAGAGAUGUGGAGGAACACCAGUGGCGAAGGCGACUCUUUGGUCUGUAACUGACGCUGAGGCGCGAAAGCGUGGGGAGCAAACAGGAUUAGAUACCCGAGUAGUC
rnacentral:rRNA from 1 species